GUCCUCUCUUUGGCAGCACAAAUAUUAAAACUGGAAUGAUACAGAGAUUAGCAUGGCCCUUGCAGAAGGAUAACAUGCAAAUUCAUGAACCGUUCCGUAUUUUA